AAGGGCGAUGCUGAAAACCCUAAAAUAGAGUAAGCU
rfam:Sphingobacterium sp. ML3W, complete genome.